UACAGAGGGUGCAAGCGUUGUUCGGAAUUAUUGGGCGUAAAGCGCGUGUAGGCGGCUUAGCAAGUCUGGCGUGAAAGCCCUCGGCUCAACCGAGGAAGUGCACCCGAAACUGCUGAGCUUGAGUGCCGGAGAGGAUGGCGGAAUUCCCCAAGUAGAGGUGAAAUUCGUAGAUAUGGGGAGGAACACCGAUGGCGAAGGCAGCCUUCUGGGCCAACACUGACGCUCAUGCACGAAAGCGUGGGGAGCAAACAGG
rnacentral:rRNA from 1 species